AUAUUGUGCAAUGGAGGAAACUCUGACGCAGCGACGCCGCGUGAGCGAUGAAGGUCUUCGGAUCGUAAAGCUCUGCCCUUGGGGAAGAAGAUAGAAAGAAUUGACGGUACCCGAGGAGGAAGCUCUGGCUACCUACGUGCCGGCAGCCGCGGUAAUACGUAGGGGGCAAGCGUUGUCCGGAAUUAUUGGGCGUAAAAGGUGGGGAGGCGGUUUUUUAAGUCAGAUGUGAAAGACCACGGCUUAACCGUGGGGUUGCAUUUGAAACUGGAAGGCUUGAGUAUCGGAGAGGGUAGUGGAAUUCCCAGUGUAGCGGUGAAAUGCGUAGAUAUUGGGAAGAACACCAGUGGCGAAGGCGACAUACUGGCUCAUUACUGACGCUGAGGCGCGAAAGCGUGGGGAGCAAACAG
rnacentral:rRNA from 1 species